GACAGAGGGUGCAAACGUUGUUCGGAAUUACUGGGCGUAAAGAGCGUGUAGGCGGCCCUGUAAGUCGGGUGUGAAAUCCCACGGCUCAACCGUGGAAGUGCACUCGAAACUACAGGGCUAGAGUCCUGGAGAGGAAGGUGGAAUGCUUGGUGUAGAGGUGAAAUUCGUAGAUAUCAAGCGGAACACCGGUGGCGAAGGCGGCCUUCUGGACAGUGACUGACGCUGAGACGCGAAAGCGUGGGGAGCAAACAGG
rnacentral:rRNA from 1 species